GGCCUAUUAUGGAUCACAACUCAACUUAGUUGAGUUGUAAUCAAGACAACUCAAUUUGAAGACAACUGCAAAAAAAAAUCGUAUUACGUGAGACAACUUUUUUCAGUUGAGUAGACCAAAUACGUUGCCUACUUUUAUGUGCUUGUUUUGUGUCAAAAUCAGCUGUGUAAAGUAAAAUACGUAGGAAUUUCAAAAUUUUGAAUUCAGUGCAAAAUUUUAUAAAAAAGACAAAAUAAUAGGAAAUGGAGAGUUCUAUUGAUUUGUUUCUUGGAAAUUCGGAAGAAGAAAAUGCUCUAAAUGUUGCGCUGAUGAGAAAAAAUAUUCGAGAUCACUCCAAUCCAUUGGAACUUCCAAACAAAAAAUUUAUAAGUUAUUUUAGACUCAACAAAGACGCAUUUUUGUAUGUGCUAAAUGAAAUCAAAGAUCAUUUGAAACAACCACAGCGUUCCUCCGCAAUCCCACCAAUUCUCAAACUCUGCACUGCCCUACGUUUCACGGCAGAAGGAAGUUACCAAAAGUGCAGUGGUAAUGAUUUUAAUUUAGGCCUUGCUCAGCCAACAGUUUCGGUAGUGUUAAAAAAGUGCUAGACGUAGUAGAAGAACGUAUCUGUCCACAAUGGAUUAAGGCUCGUAUGACAAAUGAUGAGAUGAAUUUAUCAAAAAUUCAUUUUUACUAGAAAACCAGAUUUCCUGGAGUAAUAGGAUGCAUCGAUGGAACUCAUAUUCGAAUCAUAGCACAAAAAAAUGGUGGUCUUGAUGGUUGUCCAAUGCUAUUCAGUUGAACAGCUAUAUUUUCCCAUUCUUCGUCUUGGGUUCUUUUUGUGGAACCGAAUUGUCCCUUGCCUCUGGCCAGCUCAGGUUUCUGCUGUAGAACCUCAAUCAACCUCUCGAAUUGGGCAGGUUUAGUUAUUUUUAAUCUAAAAAAUUAUUUUCUUACAGAUGUUUAUAUUACUAUUUGUAAAACUUACAUUUGUUUCUCCAUUUUCUUAAAAAAAUUGGUUUUCAAUGAACUGUUUAUGCCUACAGUUAUUUUUUUGUACACACAAAUACACUACACAACUAGUAAAUAUCAGUUGCUGAAUUUUGACAACAAUCGCAACUGAGAGACAACUCAACUGGCUUACAUAAUAACCCGAACACAUUUAAAAAGUCAACCAUUUUUUAGUUGACUACUGGUUGACUUGUGACAGACAACUAGUUGUGAUCGGUAAUACCGAUUGCCGGAUUACAACUCAACUUUGUUUUUAGUUGUCUUACAUAAUAGGCCCUUUAAU